rnacentral:rRNA from 1 species
AGCGUGCGCAGGCGGUUAUGUAAGACAGAUGUGAAAUCCCCGGGCUCAACCUGGGAACUGCAUUAGUGACUGCAUAGCUGGAGUACGGCAGAGGGGGAGUGGAAUUCCGCGUGUAGCAGUGAAAUGCGUAGAUAUGCGGAGGAACACCGAUGGCGAAGGCAAUCCCCUGGGCCUGUACUGACGCUCAUGCACGAAAGCGUGGGGAGCAAACAGGAUUAGAUACCCCUAGU